rnacentral:rRNA from 1 species
UACGGAGGGUGCGAGCGUUGUCCGGAAUCACUGGGCGUAAAGGGCGCGUAGGCGGCGCAUCAAGUCAGGCGUGAAAGCCCUGGGCUCAACCCGGGAAUUGCGCUUGAGACUGGUGUGCUUGAGUACGGGAGAGGAUAGUGGAAUUCCCAGUGUAGAGGUGAAAUUCGUAGAUAUUGGGAAGAACACCGGUGGCGAAGGCGGUUCUCUGGGCCUUACCUGACGCUGAGGAGCGAAAGCGUGGGGAGCGAACAGG